rnacentral:rRNA from 1 species
AUGCAACAACACAUCAUCGCGGCUUUCCACGACAGCCCAAUGGGUGGCCACUCCGGCUUCCUAGUGACCUAUCGCUACAUCCGCGGGUUGUUUCCCUGGCCCAAGAUGAAGGCGCAUGUGCAACAGUAUGUGCGGUGCUGCCAGGUUUGUCAACAGGCCAAACCAGACCGCACAACUUCACCAGGGCUAUUAGUGCCAUUGCCAAUCCCCAAGGAGUCGUCGGAUCUCAUCACCAUGGACUUCAUGGACGGAUUGCCGCAAUCGGGUCAACACAAUUGCUUGCUUGUGGUGGUCGGCAAGAGAACUCGGUUUGCCCACUUCCUUCCCCUGGCUCACCCCUAUACAACAGCUAAAGUGGCUAUCCUCUACAUGCAACAACUGUACAAGCUGCACAGUUUUCCCAGGGCUAUUGUAUCUGAUCACGACCCAGUUUUCACGAGCCACUUUUGGCAAGAACUGUUCAAAUAUGCAGGUACAGAAUUGCGCAUGAGCACGGCGAACCACCCGCAGACUGACGGCCAAACCGAGAGGGUGAACCAAUGCAUCGAGACUUAUCUGCGCUGCUUCGUACAAGCGUGCCCGAAGUGA